UUAAGCCUACGGGAGGCAGCAGUGAGGAAUAUUGGUCAAUGGACGCAAGUCUGAACCAGCCAUGCCGCGUGCAGGAAGACGGCUCUAUGAGUUGUAACCUGCUUUUGUACGAGGGUAAACGCAGAUACGUGUAUCUGUCUGAAAGUAUCGUACGAAUAAGGAUCGGCUAACUCCGUGCCAGCAGCCGCGGUAAUACGGAGGAUUCAAGCGUUAUCCGGAUUUAUUGGGUUU
rnacentral:rRNA from 1 species